AUGCAACUAAUUGGCAGCAGAUUCCUCUCUGCUGCCAACACUGUGCUUAGAGUAACUUGCGUCGCUCCCACACACACAGCAGACAGGAUUUCCAACACGAACAGAUCAGCCAAGGAUUGUAGCAGUAGAGUAGACCCAGUUCCUUUCCGUAGAUCAAAGCCAGAAGCAGACGUUUGUAGUUUCCAAGUCCAAGAAGGGGGAAGUCAAGCCGUGGUCAGUUCAGUCCGAAUUUCAAAGCAGGAGAUGGCGUCCGUCAAGAAGACGACGGAAGGUCAAGCUAAUAAGAGUAAGCACAGGAAAAGCCUCUUAAACAUCACAUUCCCUCACGACCCUAUCUGCUGCCAAACUGCCAUCCAUGUCUAUGCCAGGCAUCCUCAGAGAUUAUGAGAUCUGUUUGAAAACAGACAAGUGGGAUGUUUAUUUCUAUCUCACCAAUGAUAUCCAGGAUGGGACAAUUCUGAUCUGUCUGAGGCGACUGUGAAUGUUCCACUUGGCCACCUUGAUUACCAUUGAAUGCCCUUGCACCUUCAAGGCCUGCCUACUUCCUGCUUCGGAGAGGAAUCCUUUGUUGGGAGAUGUUAGCUGGCCCUCAGUACAUCAUGUCUGGAAUUCCCUGAUUGCUCAGUGCUGUUCUUUAGUUAACUGUCCUGAUUUCACAGAUUUUUUUAAUACUGGGAACCACAUUUUGUUCAUUCCAGGCAGGCAGGAACCAUCCAGGCUUUGAAGCUACAAGGCUAUUUAGUGCCAAAUCCAACAUUCACACUUGCCGAAAGCAGACAACAGUUCUUUCUUCCACCCUGGUCAUUCCACAGAUAUAUAAACCCCACUUCCUUUCGUUACAACACAUUUCACAACCUCUGAGGAUGCCUGCCAUACACACAGGCGAAACAUCAGGAGAGAAUACAUUUGGAACAUGACCAGGCAGACCACAGAACUCAGAGCAACCCAAUACAAAGAGAAACAAAAAUAAUAAAAUAAAUACAAAAAACAAAUAAAAAAACAAAAUAAAAUAAUACAAUAAAAAACAUAAAUAAAAAUAAUAUAAUCAAAUAAUAAAAUAUAAUACAUACAAAUAAUAAAAUAAAAUAAUAAAAACACAAAUAAUAAUAAAAGAAUAAAAAAUAAAAUAAAUACAAAUAAUACAAUAAAAAUAAUAAAAAACACUAAAAAUAAUAAAAAACACUAAAAAAUUAAUACAAUAAAAUACUAUAAUAACAGAAAAUAACUAAAAAUAAUACAAGAAAAUAAUAAAAUAUAAUAAAUAAAAAAGAUAAGUUACAAUAAAAUUAAUUAAAAAUACAAAUAAAGUCAAAUAAAAAUUCCACAACCAUUUUUAACCAAUACCACCACCACUUUGCCACAGCAACGCGUGGCCAGGCACAGCUAGUUAUAUUAUAGGAAGUAAAAGGUGGAACGCUUGUGGAGAUGAUCCCUUUCCUAGAAAUACAUCCAUAUCUUCAGAAUUAUUUCAGAGGCUCCAACAGUUGACCUCUGAAAGGUCAAGAACACUGACUGAGUCAGUUUCCAAUUAGCUUAUAUCUGUCACCAGAUCUUGGCCAUAUGACCUUACUCUCUUCCUCUGUGCAAACAUUUUAGAUUUGAUUAAUGGGACUGAUUUCAUGACAAAACUAGUGGACUCCACAAAUACUGGAGAUGCUGUAGUAAAUCUAGCCCACACAGUAAUCCAGUAUCAUACAAGGCUGCAUAUAUGGAACACUUGUUCUAUAGUAGGAAAUAUUUCAUCCCAGAUGUUGUUUAUAGAUGGGAGGUGGAGGGAGCUAUGAAUUGCAGAGAUGCUAAAAACAAAAAGAGAGACUAAAAGUUCCCAAUCACCCUUUGGUCUCUGGCAGAAUUGGCUGCCAAAAGUCUGUCUUAUCAAUGUAGGAAAGCCAAGGAAGCUUACUCCUCCAUGUCACUGUCUUUUUCCAAUCAAAAGCAGUUAUGCUUUGGCUGGAUUAAGGCAAAGCUGCACAUAAACCCCCUGGAGACAGGCUAUCAAACAAACCUUGAGACAGCAUGGAGACAGCCAUGGCAGAUCAGAUACAAAAGGCAGAUCUAUGCAAUGUGUGUGUAACAAUUCAUGCAAACUAAUCAUGCCUUGACACAGCAGUAGACAAUCACAAUGUGGAUUGUUCACUCAGGGGAAUAGCAACCUCUCCUCAUGCAAAACCUGUAUCUCAUAUUGGUCUUAUUAACAUUCAUUGCUCCCCGUCUUUCAUAUAUUUUAUUUGCACUGUUGACACACCUAUUCACAAUUCAUGUUAUUGGUCUGUUAUCCAACUUCAAGUUUGAAGUAGAGCAUUGGCUGGCAGCAGAGAAAUGAAGGACACACCUUUUGUCUCUGGGUUACAAAGUCAACAAGCUCAGUCAGUUUCUUUAUUCCUUGGGUCAGCAACAUUUAACUCUCUGAAAUCUCAGGGCCAAAGCAGGAGUCAAUUCUUUGUGAUUUUGUGGGGUAGGGUGUUAUGAUAACUUGCUAAAAUCAGGGUGCGCAUUACAUUUGUGGCAUGCACAUAGCUUGAGGGAGACUCCGGAGGUGCAGUGGGUUAAACCGCUGAGCUGCUGAACUUGCUGACUGAAAGGUUGGCGGUUCAAAUCCGGGGAGCGAGGUGAGCUCUUGCUGUUAUCCCCAGCUUCUGUCAACCUAGCAGUUCGAAAACAUGCAAAUGUGAGUAGAUCAAUAGGUACCGCUCCGGCGGGAAGGUAACGGCGCUCCAUGCAGUCAUACCGGCCACAUGACCUUGGAGGUAUCUACGGACAACUCCGGCUCUUCGGCUUAGAAAUGGAGAUGAGCACCAACCCCCAGAGUCAGACAUGACUGGACUUAAUGUCAGGGGAAACCUUUACCUUUUUACGAGAAGAAAAUUCAAGAGUUACAAAGUUAGUGCUUUCCUUCCUGCUCCAAAGGACAUGAUGGGUCCAAGUACAUACAUUCACCAUCUUUUCUCCCAGGCUUAUCCUUUCAUUCCUGUUUUGUUGCCCUGAUGUUACUGAAGCACAUAACAGAAAUAAACAUUAAGAGGAGGGAAGGAAACCCAGACUUUAAAGUCGCCUCAGAUUUUUCAUCCUUACAAAGAGACCUGGAAAGGCACAGCAAUGGCCCAAUACUUUAACCUGAGCCCUUGAACCUGACAACCCUAACUGAAAAUGUUUUAGCAGGAAAAGGAUACACAGCCUGCAUAGUAGUACAGCUAAAAAUGAAGGCAGCAGGAUAGCAGGACUUGAUUUCAGAUGUGCUCAUGUGGGCAUGCCCAGUGUAAUGAAAAACAGCAAAUACAUGGCAUGUUAAAUCCUUCCACAAGUAUCCACAAGGCAACAUGUCUCAAAUAUUAUCAGUCAUCAUGGUACAGGCAAAUUAACCUGUUUUGUUCCAGCUUUACCUAUUAUCAAACCAAUUUCACAGAUUUCUGAAAUGGAAGAGAAGGAGAGAGGGCCCAGCAUGAUCUGUAAACAAAAGACCAAACUAUACAUAAUGAUAUUUUGUGGUUUACUCUUAAAUGUGAGAUCAUAACAUUGGUACUCACCAUGGAGGUUCCUUUUCUGUAGUCAUAGGAAGGGAAUCCUUCAAGCUGUGAUUAUAAAGGCCCAAAAACACUCCAAUUAUAAUAAUACAACCUUGGUUAAUGCAAUACAAAACUUUAAUCAAGGAAAUAAUGAGAACCUUAAAUAUUCUCAACUAUGUUCAUAUCCAAUCCGUGCCACUCUUUCUCUGGCAGUGCUUUUGGAACCAGGAAAAAAAGAAGACAAAACAAUCUCCUGAGAUGUAUGGAAUACCUAAACAUACCUAAACAAUUUUAAGAACAAAAGAGUGAUCUUUAUGAAAAGCACAACUAAGAACUGGCAAUGGCCACACCUCAGAAGCUUUGUAAACAGAUACAUAUCAAGCAACAACAAGAAAUCAAUGUAAGACAUUUCAAGUCCACCAAUCUCAAAGUUUGGUUCAAAUUGUGUUUUCAGAAAAGCAAGAAGAGAAAAAAAAAGCUCCCCUUGGAGAGAAGAGAAAUUUUUCUAAUCAUGCAAAUAACUAGUAAUUUGAACAAGGGUAUCCUCAUCAAGACCUAAGUGAAGAGGAAAGGAUUAAAUGUUCACAUUCACAUUCACACAAUCAGGAUCCAUUGCUCUGUGAUGGUUCUUUAUGGGGAAGGGAUUGCAUUUAAAGUCGUAACAUAAAAAUGUCACUCUCUUGUUGGGCGUAACAGUUUAAAUUUCCUGAGGGUCUGUAUGGAACAUUAUGUCAUUUUCUCUAUCUUGAAUCAUGAUGGACAUGGAAUUUUAUAAAUAAAUACAUUUUCUUGCCCAUGUAGGGCUUUAAAGUUAAUAAUAGGCUUGCAUAUUUGUAUGGAAUUACUUACCUUUUUUGUUUGUUCCAUUCGUAUGGCCCUGUUUCCAUUUUCGUCCACUGCUUAUGGAAAGGGGUGCCUAUACAAAUGGGUAUUUCCAACCAAGGUCUGA
rnacentral:lncRNA from 1 species